GGUCCGAUGGUGUAGUUGGUUAUCACUUCUGUCUAACAAUUUACGUAAUUGUCACACAGGCGGUCCUCAGUUCGAACCUGGGUCGGAUCA